rnacentral:lncRNA from 1 species
AACAGUGAGAACACUUCUGGCAUUCCACCAUCACUAGUGCUUCUCGGCAAUUCGCACGGCAUUGAGAGCUACUUGUCUUUAAUUGCUGCACACGAAGAUGUCUAGCCUGAGAGAAAAUGUGAGCAUUUUUUUGGAUAAGCAAAAGAGAGAACCCAUUUUGGCCAUUUUGAGAGAGAUCACGCCUUAUCCUUCCCAUAGCAACAUCAUCCAUGCUUGACACUUGGCUUAAACAAGUGAAAACUCUAGUCAAAUGGAGUAUGGAAACCACUACCUUCAAUAGCCCCACCAUCAACCACUGUAACCCCAGUUGUGCUCGACAGUAUUUGUGUCACAGCUACUGUGCCACAAAUGCACUAGAUUCAAAA